UUUUUUUUUUUUUUUUUUUUUAAAGAUUUUAUUUACUUAUUUACGAGAGACACAGAGAGCAAGAGAGGCAGAGACACAGGCAGAGGGAGAAGCAGGCUCCAUGCAGGGAGCCUGACGUGGGACUCGAUCCCAGGACUCCAGGAUCAUGCUCUGGGCCAAAAGCAGGUGCUAAACCCGCUGAGCCACUCACCGAUCCCAGCACUGGAAGUUUUGAGGUCAGUCUUAGUCAGAGGUCACACCCUGUUAUUUCUUUGGGUUGUGGACAUGGGGUGUUACCACAUGUUAUCUACCAUCCUUUGAAAUGUUGAUUAGAUUAGUCCCUAGCUUUUCAACAUCUGGAUUCUUUAAGCCAUUGAAGUUUUAAUCUGUCUGGGAUAAUCAAUGUAUCGUAGGGUGGGAAAAUUACUGUAGUACUUGCUUGGAGAAGGGACAAAGGGUCUUCACCUGCACUGGAAUUUCUUUUUUUGUUUUUCCCCACCUGCUCUUUGGCCACAUUUCCAUAGCUUUGCCUAACAGGGAUGCUUGUAAUUCUGUAUAUGUGACAUAGUAGUUGAAAGGCAAGCUUUGGAGAUGAGAGCCCCAGGUUCCAGCUGUAUUGCUUUGUGACCUUGGGCAAGUUAUCUAUUCCCUGUGUGUUCUUUGUAAAACUGGGAAUAUGAAUAUUCCCAGGUAGUACCUACCUCUCUCAUAGGGUAGUCAAGAGGAUUAUAUAAAUUAAUGUUUCACGAGGUCUGGCUCAGAGUUAGUGACCAGUAAAUGUUAGUUGUUGCAUUAAUAGUAUUGAUAUUAUGUUAAGUUUUUGUUGUUUCUGUGAGGUUGCUGGUUUUUGGAAUGCUAAAGGUAUUUGUGAUCUUCUGAAUAGGUCAGGAUUUUGAAUACUGCCUUUUUUUAGUGGCAGGUAUUUACUGAACACCUGUUGUGUCAGGCAUUGAUCUAAGUGAGCAAGACAUGAAAAUCCCUGCCUUCUUGAAACUUCUGUUUAAGGAAACAAACUGCACAAAGCAAAAUAGAUGACCCAUCACUCAUCUUAUUGAAAUUUGGUAUUCGACUUUGUAUAUUGAAGCCCGUGUUAAGCAGUCCUAUCAGUCUUCACCAUUAGAUCUUUUUUUUUGUUUCUCUUGCUGUGCUUCAGAAUGUUUGGUGCCAGGAGCACCUUAAAAGCAUGGAACUAGUUUCUUUGUUUCCAUCUAUGGCUCAGUCUUAUUAUAAGGCAGUCUUACACUCCUCUUAUUUCCUUGACUUACUACUUAAAUUGGCUGUUACAAACUUCCCUUUUGAUCCUCAAAUUUCAUUUCAUUUCAUUUUUUUUUCUUUUUUUUAAAGAUUUUAUUUAUUUAUUCAUGAGAGACAUAGGCAGGGAGAAGCAGGCUCCCUGUGAGAAGCCUGAUGGAGUACUAGAUCCCAGGCUCCCAUCCCAGGGCUUCGGGAUCAUGACCUGAGCCAAAGGCAGAUGCCUAACCAUUGAGCCACCCAGGUGUCCCUAAUUCUAUGUUUUUGUAAAAUUUUAUAAAAGUUACUUGCAAACAUUAAGAGCAGUGGACUGAAUGGUGUUCUAGUAAAGAUUAAAAUUUCUAAAUAAAAUUGAAUUUUGGUAGAUAAAGAAUUUAGGAGUUGGGUCACAGGGAAUUAGAUAAUCUUAUUAAUAUUUUAGGGUUCUAAAACUUGGCUUAUUAGUGUUCUUUUAUGUUAUCUACCAUAGAUUGCCUUUCUUUGAAAUGAAUAUUAAUAUGACACUUAUAAAAAUAAUAUUGAUAUCAACAUUUGAGUGCUUAAUGUGUGCCAGGCACUCUUCUGUAUCCUUUGUAUUAACUUUUUAAAAUUUUCACCAUAGCUCUCUGAGGUAAGUAUUGUUAAUGUCCCUAUUUUGUAGUUGAAAAUUUGGUACAGAGAAGUUAAACAUGCUCAGGACCUCACCUUUAGUUAGUGGUGGAACUGGAAUUGUAUUCAGGUAGUCUGGUUCUAGACCCUGGGACCUUGAUCACUGUUCUAUGUACUAUACUUAUCAUCUAUAAAUUUAUUUCUUACCUCGUAGUUACUGAACAGUGCCUGACACAUAGUAAGGUCUGUAGAUGUACAAGCUAUUUUCAAUGGCAUUUAAUUAAGUACUCUAUAAGGCUGGCAAAGUGUACAUUAUUAUCCAUUUAUUUUUAUUUUUUAAAAGAUUUAUUUAUUUAUUCAUGGGAAACACACACACACACACAGAGAGAGAGAGAGAGAGAGAGGCAGAGACACAGGCAGAGGGAGAAGCAGGCUCCAUGCAGGGAGCCCGAUGGGGGACUUGAUCCUGGGUCCCCAGGACCAUGUCCUGGGCCAAAGGCAGGCACCAAACCGCCAAGCCACCCAGGGAUCCCCUAUUAUCCAUUUAUAUAUGUAUGUAUUUUUUCUUUUUCUUUCUUUCUUCUUUCUUUCUUUUUUUCUUUUUCUUUCUUUCUUUCUUUCUUUCUUUCUUUCUUUCUUUCUUUCUUUUUUUAAGAUUUAUAAGAAAGAGAGAGAGAGAGUGAGAGAUGGAGAGAGAGAAAGCGAGCAUGAGCAGGGGUAGAGGGAGAAGCCCCAAUGUGGGGUUUGAUCCCAGGACCCCGGGAUCAUGACCUGAGCUGAAGGCAGAUGCUUAACCGAUGAGGCACCCAGCUGCCCCUGUAUUUUUUCUUCUAUUAAUUAGACUCCAGAUUUAAUUCAGUUUUUUUAUUUCCUUUUUUAAAGAUAGCUGAGUUCCCUGAGGUUCUUAGAAACUAGAUUGUCAAAAGUAUAUGGCCAUGUUAGAUCUCAAAAUUAGCUUUUCUCACCACACAUUCAAUUUUACUUUCAUUCCAUUAGAAAUGGAUAAGGACUGAGGUUGAUGUAUUUAUUUUUGUAUGUCGUUGAUUUUGAAAGGUGGAAGCGAAUAUACUAAUUUUAUAGCAGUGUAUUCAUGCUCAGUUGAUGGAAGAAAUAAACUUUCAGGCAUUAUAAAGCUUUUUUUACCUGUAAAGUUUUGAGAGUAGUAAUAUCUUAUCCUGCUGACUUGUGAAAUUGAAUCUUCUCACUCAUAAUAAUGUGAAGUAUUAGAUAUUGUUUUGACGAGAGCAUAAACAUUAACAGGCUUUGAGAGAAAUAAUAUAAGCCAUAUUUCCUCAAAUCAAAGGAGGCAUCUAUAUUAGCUUUCCAUUGCUGCAUUGCAGAUUACCACAAUUUUAGCAGCCAAUCUCAGUUUCCGUAGGUCAGGAAUCUGGGCAUGGUUUAGCUGGGUCCUGUCCUCAGAGUCUUAGAGGCUGAAAUCAAGGUGGCAGCCAGGGCUGCAGUUUCAUCUGAGGUUCAGAAUCCUCUUCCAGGCACACUGUUGGUUGGCACAAUUUAAUUCCUUGUGUUUGUAGGAAUGGCUUUCCUUUUUCUUGUUUGCCAUCAGUCAGGGACCACUCCUUGAGUCUUCUACCAAGGAGUGGUUGAUUAGGUGGUUCUCUCUUUGGGCAGUUCACAGCACAGUUAUUGAAAAAGAUGCUGGGAGAAUUUCUCUCCCUUGGAAUCUCUGCCUUUUAAGAACUGAUCUCU
rnacentral:lncRNA from 1 species